ACACAUGUAGGUGUAUGGCCCAGGAGCUCCAUGCACAGGAGACACUCCUGGAAUGCAGCUCCUGCUGCUGUGGCUAGCUGGGCACUCCACCCCAGCUCCCCUGCAGUGCGCCACUGCCCAGCCCUGAGACCAGGGUCACCUCCCCUUCCUUCUGUGGAAAUCCAUCUAGUCCAUUGAGAAUGCCAGCAUGUUUCGGAGGCCCCUGAGAAGUUAAUACCCCGCAAGGAAACUCUGCUGUCUUCAAGGAGAUCGUGACCGUGAUCACAGAAAGAGCCUGGCAUUUCCAAUUAAGAAUGAGUCCAAACAAUGAUUCCAACUGUGAGCGGCUAUCUGCAGCCACUUAAAUUACCUGCUUUGCACAAUACAAGCAGCAGCUCCUGCCAGCAUUUGGAAGGCCAAGGCAGGAGGAGCACUUGAGGCCAAGAGUUCAAAACCAGCCUGGGCAACAUAGCAAAACCCCAUCUUUACAGGAAAAAAAAAAAUUAGCCAGGUGUGGUGGCACAUGCCUGUAGUCCCAGCUACUUGGGAGGCUGAGGUGGGAGGAUCGCUUGAGAUGGGGAGGUCGAGGCUGCAGUGAGCCAUGAUCAUGCCACUGCACUCCAGGCAACAAAACGAGACUUUGUAUCUUAAAAAAAAAAAGAAAGAAAAGAAAAAAGAAAAAGAAAAUUAACUGCAUAGUUCAUAUCAUUUACAUAUAUAUACAGAAAUCAAUUCUGGAUACAUUAAGGACUUCAGUGUGAAUCUUGAAAACUGAGCUGGUAAGAAGGGGGCAAGGGCAGAAGGGCAGAGAGGGAUGGUGGGAGUGAAGUAGGCACAACAAAGAUGAAGGCUCAUACUGGAAAAAGUGCCCAGAAUGUCCCAGGACAGUGAGAUGCUUCCUGGUCACUUGUUCUGCUUGGCCAAAGCAGGCAAAGAGGAGCAGGAGGAGAAAGGUCAGAUCAUCACCAGAAAGAGCUACCAGGGGUCAGGGUGAGGUCAAAGUAGGCACAGAAACAGCCAUGGGAGAAGGCAAUUAACUUUGGGCCAAGGAGAUCAGAGAGGGUGGUUAACAGGUUCUCCUGUGGUGCUGACUUUGAGUGCUGAUCACAGCAGCAGGAUGGGGGCUGUUGGUGGCCAUAAGUGGCCUCCCAUCAGACUCUCACCCAUGCCUGGAUUGGGACCUCUGCAUCUGGAAUGUCCCUUGGGAAAGCUAAAGAGUGGAUUCAGUACAGUCAAGUGAGCCACCUCCCACUAGAUAACUCCAGAGAACAGGGGCAGUGCCAGCAUCACCCCCAAUUCAGAAGGGCCCUACCCUUGAUUUAAUUCUCAGCUGUCUUGAAAUUCUUAAUAAUUUUUGCAAGGGGCCCUAUAUUUUCAUUUUGCAUUUGCCCCACAAGUCAAGAAGCAGGUUUUGCUAGGGGAUGACAGUUCCAGGGACCACUUCUCUGAACCCCAACCACCAAGGACAGUGGAUCGGUGCCAGGGUCCCAAGAAGUCCUGUCUGGCUUGGGUUCCAGCCACGUACAACAUAAACCAACUUCGUUUAGAAUGCCUUCCGUUGGUUUUCCACACAAUGGCAGGAGACAGUGCAGCUGACGAGCCAUCAAAGAGCAACAACAAAUAAUAACUGAACUAGUAAGGACACUUCAUGCUUUUUGGUUAGUCAAUUGCAAGUGAAAACAAGGCACAUUAUACUGGCCAAAGAAUAAUCUCUCAGAAUGAUGGAAGUCUAAUGUAGGGAAGCUUACAGCAAGGUGUUGUCCACACCCGCCCCAAGCAUCAUGAACCAGAACGUUCUUGCCAAGGGUGAUGGGGCUGCUAGAGGGAAGCAUUCACACCCUUUGACUCAGCGAUUGCAUUCUUGGCAAUGUGUCCCGGAAAGAAACACAAAGGAAAAACUUUACAUGCCAAAGAUGCUCAGGCAGCAGUUGGCUACAGUGAUCUGGGAAGAACCUAAAUGUCUAACAGAAGGAAAAGGCAUUCCACAGCCUUCCAACGAAUAAACACAAAGCCUGCGAUAACGUGGGAAAGUGUUUAUGAUGUACAGCCAUGUGAAAAUGACAUUUUUUUUUUUUGGAUCUCAAUGAUAUUAAAAGGAUGUUUGUAUAAAGGAAAAACAUUGACCAAAAAUAGAGACCUAAAAACAGUGGCAAAGGGAUAAUGGCGCUAUGGAAACGCCAUGCUCUUGAACAUCUGGAAUUGUUGUCUAAACAGUAAAUAACCCUUAAAAAUAAUGAAUGCCUAGGGCACAGAAGAUUGGUCCUGCUGAAUCUCAGAAAGUCUGGCCAAAAACAAAGCAUGUGUGCUGGGGGACAGGUGAGGAGUGGGAUUUGGGGAAGGGAUUUUGCCAGGCAGAUGAGCAGUUACCAAAUGGUUAAUGAACUAAGAGUCACAUUCCAGGGGCCCUGUCCCGUACAAACUAUGCUGCUUCUAAUGUAAAAAUAUCCGCGGUGGAGGGAUGCACCCAGUGGGCCUGACCAGGAAAGACACUUGUCCUCUAACCAGCCCCACCUAUGGCCGAAAGGCUGAUGGCCAUGCCAGGUCAGGAUGCGGCAGGCAGCCCCAGGGCGCUGUCCAGGUGGGGUUCCAUUCCCCAAGUCUGUGGCCUCCUUCCGCCUUGACACACCACCCAGUGUGAGCAACUACUAUUUCUGAAGAUAUGCGUCAGGAAUCAUUACUCAACACACACGUCACAGGGAAACAGGACAUAAAAGGAAAUUUAUCUUUGGCAGCCCAAAGCCCAUAACUUCAUUUUUAUUCAUAUUGCUCAUCUAUUUGAUCAGAUGCUGCUGCUGGUUUGAGCUGACUGGCACUUUAUAGGAAAACCAGAUGCCAGGAGAAUGAAUCUGCAGUGGGCAGGGCCGGGCCCUACAGGACACUCCCUGAUGAGGUCAGAAGAAGAUGUACAUCCAGCAAACCCCUCAGUCCCAGCUCCAGCUCAACCCCAUGCAUCCAGACUCAGGCCCCUCUCUCCAUUUCACUAGCCACCUUGAGAUCUUUUCACUGAAGUCUCCCAAGCCCUGCUCCCACUUUGGCCCCCGUCGGGUCACCUGUCUUAGCCUGGCACCUAAGCAGCCCUCUCUUUGCCCAGAGGCAACAGAGGUCAUUGUGCUACCUUCAGGACCAGUCAAAUAUUAUUACUAAUAAUUGUUUUUAUUAACAGGGCUGUUGCAUAUGGUUGAGCAGGUUGUACAUUGCACAGCCCUAGGAAGUGCCAUUCACAACAGACACUAUAGAUUUAUUUUUAUUACAAUGCAAAUCCAGCAAAUGGAAGAGUCUCGUUCUGACAAAUCAGAACAAUUUUAAACUAUUACAACAGUUUACAAAUAAGUAGAGGUAAGGGCCCGGCGUGGUGGCUCACGCCUGCAAUCCCAGCACUUUGGGAGGAUUUGGUUCACGCCUGUAAUCCCAGCACUUUGGCAGGCAGACCAUUUGAGUUCAGGAGUUCAAGACCAGUCUGGCCAACAUGGGGAAACCCCAUCUCUACUAAAAAUACAAAAAUUAGCCAGGCGUGGUGGCAGGCAUCUGUAAUCCCAGCUACUCGGGAGGCUGAUGCAGGAGAACAGCUUGAACCCGGGAGGCAGAGGUUGCAGUGAGCCGAGAUUGCACCACGGCACUGCAGCCUGGAAGACUCCAGAGCAAGACUCCGUCUCAAAAAAAUAACUAAACAAAAAAUAAGUAGGGGUAAAGGGUCUUGAGGAAGAGGCAUCCUUUUCUAAUCCACGCGAGGUGCCAAGUGAGCCCACAGCAGCCCUGCACGCCAACCCGUGAACGCCAAAUGAACCAGCUCCCUGGAGAGCACGCUAUGUUCUCCAGGCUCCUUGGGGCUACCAGUGGCAAAGAACCUUGACUGCCUGGCUGGGGGAGCCUGGGCCUGUCCCAGCCCCAUCGCCUCCACACUGUCAAUGCCUUCCUCACUGUCACUGGGCAUGCUGUGGCACAGUGAACAGCCACAAGCGCACAGGGCUGGUGCUUGGCCCACGAGGGUCUCCUCUUCUCUGCUGCACUGCCCCAUCAUGACCCUCUUUUCCCUCCAGGCCCUUCCAGUCCAGCACAACUGCCCCCUCGCUACCUAGGGGCUCAGGGUUGGCAUGAAGCCUGUUUGCUGAGGGGGACUUCUGCAUAGCCAAUACAAGCACUGGGGGAAGCCUGCUCUGCCCACCUCUCCCCCGUCUCCUCUCCUCCUUCCUUGAGCUCUCGCCCUCUCUACCUGUAGGCCUGCCCUUCACACAGUGACACUCACAUGCACACAGGUGUGCUGCCCUCCUGGCACCUCCGACAUGCUGCUCCCCCUACCUGGGACACUCUUACAUACAGUGCCCCCAAUCCACCCCUUAGCUGCUUGCCCACGUCGGGCCCUCUGCUGGGAUCCCUGCCCACUCGCAAUGCCUUUCCUCAGAGCUCAUGGACUCCUGCAUGCCUCAAGCUCUGUGCAUAUUCUCAAUCUUCUCUACUUGGCAUGGCCAGCGCCUCCUGGACUCUGAGUGUGGGCAGCCAGGGCCAUGCCAGUCCUCUCCUUCAUGGGAAGGGAUCAGCGUGCAGGGUCAGAGGGAUGCUGGCCUGGGGAUGAGGUGAGCUGGGCUCUGCUACUCCCAGCCCCUCUGGGCUGGGUGCCUGUCACCUGGCUGUGGACACUAUGUGCCCUACGCAGCUGCUGGGACAGAGUGAGUGACUGACAGACACUGUUGGCCAGAUUUUCUGCCUAACGGAAAAGACAAAUUCUGUCUUCUUUUACCAUUUACUGUUCUUCACUCUGCCUCAAAAGCAUUGAAAGAUUCGAGACCUCCAUCUGGCAUUUAGCCUCUUUCUAAUGACAAGGAAUCCCCCCAGAUCACCUCUCUGUAUUCCCCAGGCUCGGAGGUUCUGCCCCAGAAAGUGAGUCCCCAGCCCCACCCACUGUGGCCUUCACUCAGGCCAGGCCCCUCAAGAGUUCAGCGGGUCCCCAGGCCAUAGCCUUCCCCUUGACCAUCCAUUCAACCAACACGCGGUUAAAUGCUGGGGGUGCAGGCUCUGGCCCCACUCCUGCCUGUGUGAUCUUGAAAAAGUCAUCUCUCUUCCUUGAGCCUCAGUUUCCCCAUCUGUACAAUGAUAUGGCCAAUGAUUAUCUUCCUUGCUACCAUUGAUUAAGCACCCUUCCGUGGGCCACGGGCUUCCCACUUUCCCCUUAUUCCAAGCUGCAGAGGAGCAUCACUCCUCCAAUGAGGGAGCUGAGGUGACUUCUUCCAUGUCUCCCCUAGGUCUCAUUUGGCUCCAAGGACUGGACUUGUCCCAUGCCCACGGGCCCAUGGUUGCCUUGACAGGUUGACUCCUUGAAACCGUUCUUCCUGGCCUCUGUGCAAAUUAUGGCAGUAAAACGUCACUUCCCCAACAGGUCUGUUUGUAAAAUAAUGUGCAUUCCUAUAAGGAGCCAGAUUUAUACUGGAGGAGAUAGAAAGGAUCCUACUACUAAUGAGCAGCUACCAUGUGCCAGGAUGGGCAGGGGCUUCCAUACGUAUUACUGCCAUCAUUUUAAGACACCAAGUAGAAUUCUCACCACCUUAGGCCAAAAGCAAGUGGCCAGAGGCUCUGUCAUGUUAGGUUUGCAUGGCAGAAGGUACCGCUUCACAGUGAGUCACACCAAGUAACAGUGACAACUCGGUGUGGGAAGACAUAAAUGGGGUCAGCACUACCAUGAGGCCUCCUUUCCACAAGCCACACACCACCUCCAGAGCCAGCAGAGCUGUGCCCUCACAACUCCCCACUUCACAUCCUUUCUUGCCCAUCUGUCCUUUCUGAUGCAACCCACUGGCAGGGCCCCUUUCUAUAUCUCACCCAUCAUGAGGUCCUGACACCUCGCUGAAACCUAACUGAGCAUCCCCAUCCUCACCUGCCACUUACUCAUCCUCCAAUACACAGCUGGGUGUCACCUCCUCCACUUACUCAUCCUCCAAUACACAGCUGGGUGUCACCUCCUCCAGGAAGCUCUCCAGGAUCCCCCACUCCAGGUUCACCUAAGAGACCCACUGUCCUGUUGGAGCUUCCCUGGUUGUUCCAGAGUUCCACAGUGGGACCAGAAUGGAAAGGGUGGGGGCAGGAAAGACUCCAGCCUGAGUCAGGGGAGUCCCAGUGCACCAGGGGAGUGCACCAGGGGAAUGCCCCAGAGGAAGAACAGGAAGCUGAGGCCCCCAACCAGAGAGAAAACACCACCCAAGGAUGCUCCUUGCCCCUCAGCCUCAGAUGGCCCUUCCCAUUGUUCACUUCCAGGCGGUGGGCCGGUUCCAAACACCAGUUAGACAAAAGUGCUGAGUGCUGGAGGGGAGAGGGUGGCAUUAAGACACAGGUAAAACCCAGCCUCCAUCUCUGGUAGCUUACAGCCUCUAGGAGGGUGAGACUUGCAUCAAACAACCCAGUCCUGCUACAGAAGGGGCCCAGGAGAGGUCCGAAGGAGGGGGCACCUCCAGCCUUGGGAGGUCGGGGGAAACUUCAGGAUGAACUAGAAUGGGCAUUGCGCCUGCAAGGAUGAAUUUAUUAUGAGGGAGGGGCAGGGAGAUUGGGCCAAGUAGGCAGAGGGAGGCUGGACUGGGCAUGCUAUGAGGCUAGGCCCGAGGAGUGGCAAAUGUGAAUCCCUGGGAACCAGGAGGCCACUCUGCAGGUGCAGGGAAGGAGAUUAGAGCACAGAGCCAGUCCCUUGCUUCAGGCCUUAGUCCUUCCUCCCAGGAACCUCAGCAGAUGCCAAAUAUAGACAGUGCACUUUGGCAAGCUGUCCCCUAAAAGUCCCUAUUUGUGAAUUUUUGAAGGACCCCGUGUCCUCCAUCAAUUCCCAGCUGAAGUUCCAUGAGGCUCCUUCUCUGUCCUGGCCUUUAAAGACGUAAACACAUCAUCAAAAACAAUAACCCCUCAGAACAUUCCAGGACCUGGUGCUCACAUCACAGCCACUCACAGAGGCCGAUGCACCGUUGCCACCAAGUUUUCUGGGGGUCUGUGCAAAGAACCUAACCGCCUGACCUGGUAUGUCCGCCCCUGAUGGCCCAUGUUGGCUGCCAUCACCCUGAUCCCCUCCUGUUUCUGAGACACAUCACCCAGUCAGCUGCAAGUUCAGCUCAGCUCUCUCCACCGGGAAAAUCAGAGCUGGGCUCAGUAUGAAGGCUGGCUUGUGGGCAAGCAGGGGUGCUUUGAGGCCGCAGACGAGAAACUGAUGACCUUGGCAGUACUAUGGUCAGGGCCUGCCCAAGGCCACCAGACUCUGACCUCUGGUGAGCCCACCAUGCCAGGGCAUGGGGUUCACACGUUCUGCUCUCGUGACUUACGUUCCAACCAGAAAAGAUCCAUGAGUCCAACACAGAUCUGUACAUGUGCAUAUACACAUAAGUGCACACAUACAAAGGCAAAGGGGAGAAUGGCCAAGGGCUGAAGUCAGCACUUACAAGAGACCUCAAGUGGGUGCUUCCCCCAUUGUUGCCCACCAGUCUCUGUUUGAAGCACACAGAGACACAGAUACAUAGGUGAUUGACAGACUGGUAGGCACAGAUGCAUAGUAUCUCAUUUCAACCUCCCAGCAACCUUGCCAGGUGAGUAGGGCUUUUUGUUUGUUUUUGCCUCCUGAGUAGCUGGGAUUACAGGCAUACGCCACCAUGCUGGGCUAAUUUUUGUAUUUUUAGUAAGGAUGGGGUUUCACCAUGUUGGCCAGGCUGGUCUCGAACUCCUGACCUCAGGUGAUCUUCCCACCUCAGCUUCCCAAAAUGCUAGGAUUACAGGCAUGAACCACCAUGCCCAGCCAAGGUAAGUAGGUUUAAUGCCAUCUUUUAGAUGGGGAAACUGAGGAUCAAAAAGGUAAGAAGUCGGCUGAAGGCCAGGCAAGCAGUGGGGCUGUGCUUUGAACAUGCCAUUGCCCAGGGCUCCUCACAUGCUUAGAUCUGGGAGCAGGGUGGGGAUCUGUUCUUCUGGAACCUCUUUCAAUCCACGCUUCCCCUUGUUUGCAAGGAUGGGGGCAACUGAGAAUCACAGACGGGCACAGACACACAGCCGAGCAGCAGAGUCAGGACAAGAAGCCAGGCUCCUGACAGCCUAGCUAUACCACGGGACCUCCAGAAUAGAGGCCCAUGUGAUGCACCUCCAUACGCCCAGACCUUGUCCUGCUGCUGAAAUGGGCACCGCCUGGACCUCAUCCCUCGGCAUCCCGGAGCAGGCAGCAAGCCCAUCUCCCUCUUCAACUUGCACAAAGAUGGGCUUAGGUGCAUGAUGCAAUUUCAUUGGAACCCUUUCCUAAGGGGAAAUUUGUGUGCGGUGACACCUCACCAGAAUACCCUUUGACGUGUAUAAAACAGGAGGCCAGUCUCACCCUGUUUGCAUGCUGGGGACGAGGACACAAUCAAUUCCCAUAACGAUGUCAGGGGCUAGGCAGCUCCCACCUCCCAAAGCUGACCCCUAACUAGGCUUCCCGCAACCCCUAGCUAUGUAUGUGUUUGUAUGUGGAAAUCUUAUAAAAACUGAGAUUUCCAGCUUCUCUUGAAAACACCCUUCUGGCCUUCCCAGGCCCAUUUUCACACAGAACACCUGAGGGACAAACUCCCGUAUUCCCCCCUAGGGUCUCCGACAUGGUAGCUGAGUUCUGGCUGCUCUUGACUGCUGCACUCGCCGCUGGGCCUCCUCCCUCCGGUGCAGCAAGCUCUGCUCCAGGCCCUGUUCUAAGCACAGUGCCCACCAACACACAACUUCCUGAGCCGCCUCCUCCCCAGGCUUGCUGUGCAGGGCAGGACACCAACAGAAGGAUAAGAUGGAAGGCUGGCUGGCCUAGAGGGGUCUGGCCGUCAAAAAGGUCACCCCGUCACUGCUCUCAAGAUACAGCUGCUCUGGUCACACCUGAGGUUCCCUACAAAGGUGACAUUCCUCCACAACCAAGCCAAGUGCUAGCAGACAUCGGGUCCAAUGCUCCUUGUUAACACUUCCAGACAAGGGCAACCAAGAAAAUCAUUAGAUGAGCCAAGAGAAAAAAAACAAUGUCUUUUCUUUUUAAAACUAACUCCAAAAUUCUCCCUCGGAAUAAAUCCAUCCAAACCGAUGACAGAAACAUCAUUUAAAUUUCGCGUAAAGAACAUAACUACUUUAGAAAUGACGCUAUAUCCAAAAUAAAAACUGGAAACUAAGACCAAUCCUCUAAAACCAGAACACACACUUUGGACGAAAUUUACUUGCAAGUUUCCUUAAAGGACUCUUAAGAUGGAGGUGUAGUAUCAACUCCUAAUGAAAUACAUUUCAUUUACAACUGCACACACCCUAAGACCUCAUAUGGUGUUUCAAGAGAACUCACGUGGUUGGAUGGGAUUCCUGGGCUGAGGCUUGCAGCCUGCAACUUCGAAG
rnacentral:lncRNA from 1 species